GAUGAACGCUAGCGGCAGGCCUAAUACAUGCAAGUCGAGGGGCAGCGCAGUGUAGCAAUACAUGGGCGGCGACCGGCAAACGGGUGCGGAACACGUACAGAACCUUCCUUCGAGCGGGGGAUAGCCCAGAGAAAUUUGGAUUAAUACCCCAUAGUAUAGCGGAGUGGCAUCACUUUGUUAUUAAAGAUUUAUCACUUGAAGAUGGCUGUGCGUCUGAUUAGGUAGUUGGCGGGGUAACGGCCCACCAAGCCUGCGAUCAGUAACUGGUGUGAGAGCACGACCAGUCACACGGGCACUGAGACACGGGCCCGACUCCUACGGGAGGCAGCAGUAAGGAAUAUUGGUCAAUGGACGCAAGUCUGAACCAGCCAUGCCGCGUGAAGGAUGAAGGUCCUCUGGAUUGUAAACUUCUUUUAUCUGGGGCGAAACCCUACCAUUCUUAGUAGUUUGACGGUACCAGAUGAAUAAGCACCGGCUAACUCCGUGCCAGCCGCCGCAGUAAAAC
rnacentral:rRNA from 1 species